UCCUCGUUUAAGCGAGGCAGUCUGUCCAGAGUGCUCCCAACUCUCGUUAGGAUAGCAACAGAACAUAAGGGUUGCGCUCGUUGCGGGACUUAACCCAACAUCUCACGACACGAGCUGACGACAGCCAUGCAGCACCUGUGUACGCUGGUAUUGCUACCUCGUCAGACUUUCAUCCUUCUACUACGUACAUGUCAAGGCCAGGUAAGGUUCUUCGCGUUGCAUCGAAUUAAGCCACAUACUCCACCGCUUGUGCAGGCCCCCGUCAAUUUCUUUGAGUUUUAAUCUUGCGACCGUACUUCCCAGGCGGCUUGCUUAACGCGUUGGCUUCGCCACAAAAGGGGUCGAUUCCUUUUACAGCAAGCAAGCACCGUUUACAGCUAGGACUAC
rnacentral:misc_RNA from 1 species